AGCAGUGGCUAACGAAAGCCAGAAAAAUUGACUGUAACUUAGAUCCCCACCCCAACUACACCAAGAUUGCCGCUCUUUCCAGGAUCUUUUAUCAAGCAGAAAUGUAUCAAAAAACCAGAAUCAAGAUCACUGAGCUAAAUCCCCACUUAAUGUGUGUCCUGUGUGGAGGGUACUUCAUUGAUGCCACUACCAUAAUAGAAUGUCUACAUUCCUUCUGUAAAACAUGUAUUGUGCGUUAUUUGGAGAGCAGCAAGUAUUGUCCUAUUUGUGAUGUCCAAGUUCACAAAACUAGACCACUCCUGAACAUAAGGUCAAAUAAAACUCUUCAAGAUAUUGUAUACAAAUUAGUCCCAGGGCUUUUCAAAAAUGAAAUGAAGAGAAGAAGAGAUUUUUAUGCAGCUCACCCUUCAGCUGAUGCUGCCAAUGGCUCCAACGAAGACCGAGGAGAAGUUGCAGAUGAGGAGAAGCGGAUUAUAACUGAUGAUGAGAUAAUAAGCUUGUCUAUUGAGUUCUUUGAUCAGAACAGAUUGGAUCAGAAAGUAAAUAAAAAGAAGCCUAUGAAAGAGAUGAAUGAUAAAAGGUACUUACGAUGCCCAGGAGCAAUGACUGUGAUGCACUUGAGAAAGUUUCUCAGGAGUAAAAUGGACAUACCUAAUACUUUCCAGAUUGACAUCAUGUAUGAAGAGGAACCUUUAAAGGAUUAUUACACACUAAUGGACAUUGCCUACAUUUAUACCUGGAGAAGAAAUGGCCCACUACCUUUGAAAUACAGAGUUCAGCCAACUUGCAAAAGAAUGAAGAUGAGUCACCAGAGGGAUGGACUGACGAAUGCUGGAGAGCUGGAAAGUGAUUCGGGGAGUGACAAGGCCAACAGCCCAGCAGGAGGUGUUCCCUCCACCUCUUCCUGCUUGCCCAGUCCCAGCACUCCAGUGCAGUCUCCUCACCCACAGUUCCUCACAUUUCCAGUACCAUGAAUGGAACCAGCAACAGCCCCAACGGUAACCACCAAUCUUCCUUUGCCAGUAGACCUCGAAAAUUAUCAUUAAAUGGGUCAUCAGCAACUUCAUCUGGUUAGGACUGUUAAGGAAGAGAUUUUUCAACCCCCUGAUUUAGAUACCUUCAUUCAUUACAGCUUUAUAGAUGCUUAAUACAUGUGACUGUUGUCCAGUUUGCUUCCUUUUGUAGUGACUUUAAAUUUGGCCAUAAAUGAUUGACUAGAUGUGAUACUUCAUAUGGAUGUUAAGUGGAAAUAUUGAUUCUUUCUCUAAAGAAUUGGAUUCUGAGAAAGAUUCUGUGUUAGGAAAAAUGUGAAUUGAUUUCUGUGACCACUGUUUGGAUCUGGAAAUGUUCUACUGUGGGUAGACAUUGGGCCAGUUUGUUAAUCUCAAUUAAUGCCUACAUUACAUUCUCUUUGAUUGUUCUUGUUAUUAUGCUGUUCUGUGAACCUGUAGAAAACAAGUGCUUUUUAUCUUGAAAUUCAGCAAAUGGAAAGAAUAAGCAUAGAAUACUGCAUUCUGUGCAGCCACGUCACUGUGAAUAACAAUUUCUUGCAUAUUUAGCCAUUUUAAUUCCUGUUUGAUUUUUACUUCUCUGUUGCUAUGCAAAAUAAUCAAAGGAAACUUGUUUUACAAUCUGUAUGCAUAAAAAGCAGGUACUACCACUUAUUUUACUGACUUGUUGAAAUGAUUCACUUUUGUAAGAAUCAGAUGGCAUUAUGCUUGUUGUACAAUGCCAUAUUGGUAUAUGACAUAACAGGAAACAGUAUUAUAUGAUAUAUUUAUAAAUACUAUGAAAAUAUUGUGUUUCAUGCAUUCAAAAACAGUUGUAAACUUCUCCAAAUGGGUUCGACCUUUGCAGAUAUCACAGUGCACCCAAUGCUGAGGCUUACCACCAGCACAGAAUUUGUUUUAAUGUUGAUAACCAGUUUCAAAUUCUUUUUCACUUAGAAGCAAAUGGCAGAUCUUCAUAGUUCUGGCUUUUCUCCAAUAAAACUUUCAAAAUUAAUAUUGCAGUAAUGAAAAAUUUUAACCAAGGCAAAUAUAGUGUUUUAAUUUUCCAUUGGUUAAAAUAGAAUUAAUGUUUUUAAAUUCUGUUUAUCAGUGGAAUUCUAAAAUAGAUUUUAAAGUCAACCAGCUAAUUGCUGAAGUAAAGCAUUUUAUCUACAAUUUUAUUUUAGUGUAUGUGGCACAAGUGUAAUUUCAAAUUUAAGAGUUGUUUUCAUAGUUAAAGGAAUCUGCCUUCAAUGUAACAUCUGGAAACAGAAGCAAUUUGUUAUGAUUUCUACAGGGAUUUUUAAUAGAGCAAACAUAUUGAAUUUAAAAUAUGAAUGACCCCUCCAAGUCUUAGUUUUGCUUUGGUUGAACUUAGCGUGUGUUUAUCAGCCAUCAGUUAUUGUGAGGAUGUUAAUUCCAUAUGAAUAUUGUUUCAUGUUUGUAUGGGAAACUGUAGCUAAGCAUUUCAUUGUCUGCAGUCUGCAGAAGAAGCACAAUUGUAUUGCUUUGUCUUGUUUGUAGCCAUUAAAUCAUUACUUUUACACACAUUGCUGUUAACUUCUGCUUUCUUUAAAGAUUUAGUAAAUAAUGUUUUAUGAAGCCACAAAAUACAUAUAUUUUUAUUUUGAUUCCUGUACAGUCCCAUUGUGUGUGUGUCAUUUCUAAUUAUAUAUGUAAAAUUAAAUUUCAUUUUUAAUUGGAAAAUUCAAUAAAAGGAUAUUCAUUUUUUU